rnacentral:ncRNA from 1 species
UUCUGGGAGGAUUGACAGAUUGAGAGUUUUUUCUUGAUUUCGUGGAUGGUGGUGCAUGUCCGUUCUUAGUUGGUGGAGGGAUUUGUCUGGUUAAU